GACAUACGGGACUUUGAGUAGAAAAAGCGACGCUGUGUGUCCAGACUCGAGGCGGGGGCAGUGGAGUGGAGGCAUCUGCGUAACACCGCGUUCACUCAUCUUUUUCACCAAACCUCUCUCUUUUGUCCACUUUUUAUUAUCAUGUGCAUGUCCCUGUGCUAUUUACAGAUACGGAAUAAGCUCUCCACGGUCCUGCGAGCUGACUGCACUCCUCCCCGGGCUGGUUGGGUUGUAUAAUAGGCUUCACCUCAGCUGAACUUGGCGCAUCUGGUCCACCGGCGGCGCACUACCCGACGCAGCGAGCUCCGUGUCCCCGCUGAACUCUGCUGACGCUCGGGCUACACAGACACACUCACACGGGAGGAGAGCCUGUGAUUUAAACCGCUCUAGGUGCCUUUUUUACGCGUAUUCACCUGCAAAUCCUGCUACUUUGAAGACAUUUACCACGUUGUCAGCUCAGUAUUGUGUGCGUAAUGCGUGUUUUUUUGCUGUUUUGGAGACGCCAGACAAUAGAACUGGACCCAACCGUCUAGGAAAUAGAAAUCCCCCUCGUGCUGGAGUUUGGACACCUCGCCAGGAAGGGUCACUUUCGUCUUUGAACUUCAUCUGCGUUGAAGCCAACGCCAAGAAGAACGCGCGGGGAGAUCGUUUCAAAACAGAAUCUCCAGACAAACUGUGCUGCGGAGGGGUCCCCGACAAUAACCCGAGAAAGAGAUUUCGCCGCUUAACCCGAACGGACCGCCGCUGCCGCCGUGCGAGACCGCCGGACCUAAACUCUCCCCGGGUAAGUCCUAGCUCUGUCUGGGUGUGGAGUUGUGUUCAUGUGUCUCCCGAAAAAGAGUAGACUAGCCCUGUAGUUCAAAUGAUAAAACGUUGAAAAGGAAGCGAUUCUUUGGACUAGUUUCCGUCUUUGAACAAUGUUUGGGUGUUAUCCGCUCCAGGACUUGUACGUCGGUUGCUAAAGGACUAGCCACAGACUGGAGCUGUAACUAUCAGGCAAAAUCCGAGGUAAACGUGGCACCGCUUUCAAGUCCAAACAAACUCGGCUCAUCUCUCGCCUGAGGUUCCUUUAGCUGUAGUUUUACCUUGUUUGGCCUUUCUGUGUGAAAAGCAGCUUUAGAGGGAGCAGUGUAGGUCUGAGCUGCAGAUGGGCUGAGGGCCAGACUAGGCCUGUAUGAGGCCGAGCCCCUCCACCACUCUGCCUCUGCCUCUAAAGCUCCAACGUCUCUCAGCUCAGCAUCACACUUUUUACCUUUAUUAUAAUCCACUUUUCCCUUUUCAAAAUGUGGACUUUUGGGGAAAACUGAAGGUCUAAAAUACGUCCGCAGUGACACGUGGCUGCGUAAAACUUACAUGAGGAGAAAAUAAUCACGAUUAUAUUCAUUUCUUGUGCGCUACAAAUACAAAAUGCAUAAUAGUGUUUUUAAAAGUCUGUGGACAAGCAUAAACACGACCAGUGCUUUAAGGCAAACAGCGCCAUGUGUUUCUCUGUUUCUUUAUUUGAUUGUUGCUAGGCUAAAGCUCAAACAGAAAAGUUCAGUUUUUUCUAUGAUAAUAAUGAUGGUAAUAUUUAGUCGUGUGUAUUUGCGCAGAUACAACUUUAUAAAAAAUACACUUCGCUCAUAACAAUAGUUAAAUUGUACCUGGGGGUAUAAAUAAAGUUCCUUAUCCCUGUUCUUAGCUGGUUUAAGUUGCCCUGUGUGUGAGGACACCCUGAGCUCGUCAGUAUCGACUUUGGCCAAUAGGUAGGAGUGGAGGCAGCGUGACUCAUCAGUCAUAGCUACAGACGUUCCUCCUACGUCCUGCGUUUUCAGGCCUGUUCAGACGCCAUUGGUGCAGAGCCCUGAAGGAAACCCUCUCUCCUACGCCUCAGCUCGGACCCCGUCCUCAGACCCCAGCCCUUCGGAGGGUGUAAAUACGUCAGCGUUCAAAAAGCAGCACGUCACUGUACCACACCAAUCAGAGUGCACUGCAGCAAAGUAAUCAGACAAAUUAUCCCCCACAGACAAACGCUGCGUGUUGGGUUCAGGCGCUUUCGUAAAUAGGCGAUUUUAUGUUUUUCCCCUUUUUUGCUUUUUCACCAAUUUAUUUUAAAUAAGUUGAUGCACAAUUACCUUUUGGUGGAUUUUUUUUUUUUUAUGCAAUCUAAUUUUACAAGAUUUUACUCGUACACUACGCGCUGCACAUCCA
ensembl:lncRNA